UAGGGAAUCUUCCGCAAUGGGCGAAAGCCUGACGGAGCAACGCCGCGUGAGUGAUGAAGGUCUUCGGAUCGUAAAACUCUGUUAUUAGGGAAGAACAUAUGUGUAAGUAACUAUGCACGUCUUGACGGUACCUAAUCAGAAAGCCACGGCUAACUACGUGCCAGCAGCCGCGGUAAUACGUAGGUGGCAAGCGUUAUCCGGAAUUAUUGGGCGUAAAGCGCGCGUAGGCGGUUUUUUAAGUCUGAUGUGAAAGCCCACGGCUCAACCGUGGAGGGUCAUUGGAAGCUGGAAAACUUGAGUGCAGAAGAGGAAAGUGGAAUUCCAUGUGUAGCGGUGAAAUGCGCAAAAAUAUGGAGGAACACCAGUGGCGAAGGCGACUUUCUGGUCUGUAACUGACGCUGAUGUGCGAAAGCGUGGGGAUCAAACAGG
rnacentral:rRNA from 1 species